rnacentral:rRNA from 1 species
UACGUAGGGGGCAAGCGUUGUCCGGAAUCAUUGGGCGUAAAGCGCGUGUAGGCGGCCCGGUAAGUCCGCUGUGAAAGUCCAGGGCUCAACCCUGGAAUGCCGGUGGAUACUGUCGGGCUCGAGUCCGGAAGAGGCGAGUGGAAUUCCUGGUGUAGCGGUGAAAUGCGCAGAUAUCAGGAGGAACACCGAUGGCGAAGGCAGCUCGCUGGGACGUGACUGACGCUGAGGAGCGAAAGCGUGGGGAGCGAACAGG